rnacentral:rRNA from 1 species
GACGUUGGCGGCGUGAUUAGGCAUGCAAGUCGAGCGAGAAGGUUCCUUCGGGAACUGGACAGCGGCGAAAGGGAGAGUAACGCGUAGAUAUCUGCCUCGAGGCCCGGGAUAGCGGCGGGAAACUGCCGGUAAUACCGGAUAACAUCUCCGGAUCAAAGGUGUGAUUCCGCCUCGAGAUGAGUCUGCGUCCUAUUAAUGCUUGUUGGUGUGGUAACGGCGCACCAAGGCGAAGAUGGGUACCGGGUGUGAGAGCAUGGCCCGGCUCACUGGGACUGAGACACUGCCCAGACACCUACGGGUGGCUGCAGUCGAGAAUCUUCGGCAAUGGGCGAAAGCCUGACCGAGCGACGCCGCGUGCGGGAUGAAGGCCCUCGGGUUGUAAACCGCUGUCAGUAGGGAGCAAAUCUCUUGGGGUUAUCCCCUUGAGUUGAGCGAUCUUCAGAGGAAGUACGGGCUAAGUUCGUGCCAGCAGCCGCGGUAAGACGAACCGUACGAACGUUAUUCGGAAUCACUGGGCUUAAAGAGUCCGUAGGCGGCCGUGUAGGUGGGAUGUGAAAGCCCUCGUCUCAACCGAGGAAUUGCGUUCCAAACCACAUGGCUUGAGGAGGAUAGAGGUGAGCGGAACUGAUGGUGGAGCGGUGAAAUGCGUUGAUAUCAUCAGGAACACCAGAGGCGAAGGCGGCUCACUGGGUCCUUUCUGACGCUGAGGGACGAAAGCUAGGGGAGCAAACGGGAUUAGAUACCCCGGUAGUCCUAGCUGUAAACGAUGAGCACUAGAUCGAGGGGACUUCCACAUCUUCUCGGUCGUAGCGAAAGUGUUAAGUGCUCCGCCUGGGGAGUAUGUCGCAAGGCUGAAACUUAAAUGGAAUGCGG